UACUGUUCUCAAACUCCAGUUGACUUAAGCAUCAGAGAAUCUCUAUCGAAGAAUCCCGACAUAUGUGGACUUCUUUUAUAGAUCCUUGUUGGUGUCCCAACGUUCAGACUAUCCUCCAUCUUUAGCCAUGUUAACUGCUACCAAAAUCUUGAUGCAACAAAUAUUAUAUACAAAUAGCAGUGACAAUUAUAAGUAAAAAGAAAAUAAAUCAAAAAACUAGAUCAAUUAUAGAAUGUUUACAAAGAUUUAGGGUAAGCUUUUAUUAAAUACCUCUUGUGAUAAAUUCUAAUUAAUUGUCCAACGGAAGUAGACCAUCAUCUUUGAAUUCUCCCUACAGUGGUU
rnacentral:lncRNA from 1 species